rnacentral:rRNA from 1 species
AUUGAACGCUGGCGGAAUGCUUUACACAUGCAAGUCGAGCGGCAGCGCGGUCUUCGGACUGGCGGCGAGCGGCGAACGGGUGAGUAAUACAUCGGAACAUGCCCAGUCGUGGGGGAUAACACUUCGAAAGAAGUGCUAAUACCGCAUACGUCCUGAGGGAGAAAGCGGGGGAUCGCAAGACCUCGCGCGAUUGGAGUGGCCGAUGUCAGAUUAGCUAGUUGGUGGGGUAAAGGCCUACCAAGGCAACGAUCUGUAGCUGGUCGGAGAGGAUGAUCAGCCACACUGGGACUGAGACACGGCACAGACUCCUACGGGAGGCAGCAGUGGGGAAUUUUGGACAAUGGGGGCAACCCUGAUUCAGCCAUUCCGCGUGAGUGAAGAAGGCCUUCGGGUUGUAAAGCUCUUUCGGCAGGAACGAAACGGUGAGCUCUAACAUAGCUUGCUAAUGACGGUACCUGAAGAAGAAGCACCGGCUAACUACGUGCCAGCCGCCGCAGUAAUAC